GCCUGGGUGGCUCAGUUGGUUAAGCAUCCGACUUUGGCUCGGGUCAUGGCUCACAGUCCAUGGGUUCGAGCCCCACAUCGGGCU
rnacentral:tRNA from 1 species